GACAGAGGGUGCAAACGUUUGUUCGGAAUUACUGGGCGUAAAGCGCGUGUAGGCGGCUAAGUAAGUCGGGCGUGAAAUCCCACGGCUCAACCGUGGAAGUGCACUCGAAACUGCAUAGCUAGAGUCCUGGAGAGGAAGGUGGAAUGCUUGGUGUAGAGGUGAAAUUCGUAGAUAUCAAGCGGAACACCGGUGGCGAAGGCGGCCUUCUGGACAGUGACUGACGCUGAGGCGCGAAAGCUGAGGGGAGCAAACA
rnacentral:rRNA from 1 species